UUUCUUUGCAGCAGUCUAAGAAGCUACACGUUUACGUGCCAAGAGGCGGGGGCGCGGGUCCAUCCCUGGAGGGGGGACAAGUGUUCCAUCUCGUGCCCGGCCAACUCCCACUACAAUGUAUGUGGCAGCGCGUGCCCAGAGUCCUGCGGCAUUUCACCUGACGGUCCCUGCCCAUGGCCCUGUGCCGAGGGCUGUCUCUGCGACUCUGGUUAUGCGCAACGUGGAAAGGGCUGCGUCAAAGCGGAGCAGUGCGGUUGCACCUAUCUUGGGCACUUCUUCGAGCUAGGGGAGACGUUCUGGGUGGAGGGAUGUGCCAGGCAGUGUAAAUGUUCUGCCCCUGCCACCGUACAAUGUAAGCCGGCUUCUUGCCCAGACGGGACCAGCUGCAGCUUUAAUGACUCCUGGGUCUGUGCAAGGAAAGGAGCUGAAGAACAUCAACCCUGUGAGACCGGACAGACCUGUGGACAACGGGGCCAGCCUCGACAAUCCCAGUGUUGGGUGCUGGGAGGCUCCCGCUUCUACACCUUUGACGGAGAGUCCUUUGAAUUCCAAGGGAAC